rnacentral:rRNA from 1 species
GGAUGAACGCUGACAGAAUGCUUAACACAUGCAAGUCUAUGAGAAGAUCUACUUCGGUAGAAGGUAUCAUGGCGGACGGGUGAGUAACGCGUAAAGAACUUGCCUCUUAGACUGGGAUAACAGAUGGAAACGUCUGAUAAGACUAGAUAUAAUAGCGACAUGGCAUCAUGUUGUUAUGAAAGGUAACACUAAGAGAGAGCUUUGCGUCCUAUUAGUUAGUUGGUGAGGUAAUGGCUCACCAAGACGAUGAUAGGUAGCCGGCCUGAGAGGGUGAACGGCCACAAGGGGACUGAGAUACGGCCCUUACUCUUACGGGAGGCAGCAGUGGGGAAUAUUGGACAAUGGAGGAAACUCUGAUCCAGCAAUUCUGUGUGCACGAUGAAGGUUUUCGGAUCGUAAAGUGCUUUCAGUAGGGAAGAAGAAAGUGACGGUACCUACAGAAGAAGCGACGGCUAAAUACGUGCCAGCAGCCGCGGUAAUACGUAUGUCGCAAGCGUUAUCCGGAAUUAUUGGGCGUAAAGGGCAUCUAGGCGGUCAAUCAAGUCGAAGGUGAAAACUUGUGGCUCAACCAUAAGCUUGCCUACGAAACUGAUUAACUAGAGUACUGGAGAGGUGGACGGAACUACACGAGUAGAGGUGAAAUUCGUAGAUAUGUGUAGGAAUGCCGAUGAUGAAGAUAGUUCACUGGACAGAAACUGACGCUGAAGUGCGAAAGCUAGGGGAGCAAACAGGAUUAGAGACCCCGGUAGUCCUAGCCCUAAACGAUGUAGACUUGGCGUCGGUGGUUUAAUCGCCAUCGGUGUCGUAGCUAACGCGAUAAGUCUACCGCCUGGGGACUACGGCCGCAAGGUUAAAACUCAUAGGAAUUGACGGGUCCCCGCACAAGCAGCGGAGCGUGUGGUUUAAUUCGAUGCUACACGAAGAACCUUACCUGGGUUUGACAUAGAGGUAGUAGGGAAGCGAAAGCGGACCGACCCUUCGGGGAGCCUCUACAGGUGUUGCAUGGCUGUCGUCAGCUCGUGUCGUGAGAUGUUCGGUUAAGUCCGCUAACGAGCGCAACCCUCGCUGUGUGUUACAAGUGUCACACGGUACUGCCGAUAUUAAGUCGGAGGAAGGUGGGGAUGACGUCAAGUCAGCAUGACCUUUAUAUCCAGGGCUACACACACGCUACAAUGGCCAGUACAAUGGGUUGCCAAGCCGCGAGGCGGAGCCAAUCCUAAAAAGCUGGCCUCAGUUCAGAUUGCAGUCUGCAACUCGACUGCAUGAAGUUGGAGUUGCUAGUAACCGCAGGUCAGCAAUACUGCGGUGAAUACGUUCCCGGGGAU